ACACUUUGCUGGGUGUGGCCGCGGCUGCCUCUGUCCCACUCGCUGCGCUCCCGGAAUUCGGAGUCACUGCCAGGAACGCACCUAGCUUUACUCCAGCUGGUGGUGGCGCCAACCUGCCAGGUCAAUCCAAGAAGCAGCGUGCUUGGCUGUGACAAGACAGAAGUUCGCAUUUGGAGUUCAGGGCACGCCUGACCCCGCCCCCUUUUCGGGGCACCUGCGGCUCCUGUUGGCUAACCCUGAACUUCCUUCCUCUGUGACCACCCUCGCCGCUCUCAGCUUCUGUUCCGCGUGGAUGCCGCUGCAUUCGGAGUCGUUUUGCCACUUGGUCCCAGCGCGAGGCUUCUCGGUCGGGAGUCGACCUCAGCUUCUCCGUGGCCAGGUUCUUGGCACCCAGCAGGCGCUCGGUGGACGGAUGGGUGGCGGAAUGAAGGACACAGAGGCCACCGCGGGGUCUGGCCUCUAAGAGGCUUUUAUGGCCUCCUCCGUCACUACCGGGCGAAUGAUUCAGCCUGCCUUUUUUUUUUUUUUUUUUUUGGAGAUGGAGUCUAGCUCUGACGCCCAGGCUGGAGUGCAGUGGCACGAUCUCGGCUCACUGCAACCACCGCCUCCCAGGUUCAAGCGAUUUUCCUGCCUCAGCCUCCUGAGUAACUGGGAUUACAGGUUUCCAUGCCAGUGAAAUGUCACCUCAACUCCACUGUCCCUGGUGUCAGGCAAGCCCAAGGGACCCAAUUCUGCCUUUCUUCUGGAUUUUCCUAACCUGGCUGGCUUCGACCUUCUGCUCUUCUGUUGUGUGGUGACCCUCACCAGAGGAUAGCUUCACGCUCUUGGACUUCCCAGCCUCAAGAACUAGAAGAAAUAAAUUUCUUUAUAAGUUGCCCAGUCUGCUGUAUUCGGUUAUAGCAGCAGGAAAUGGACGAAGACAAUGCCCUUUAUCAGAUCAAAUUCCCUUUCAUUUCUACUUUGCUGUUUUUACCAUUAAUAGAAUGUGAAAUAUAACAAUAACAAUAACGUUUGACACAUUGAAACGUAUCAAAUGUUAUUUUUUGGCAUCUAUUGAGAUGAUUAUAUUGUUUCUCUCUUUUAUGCUAUUCAAAUGUUUAAUCAAAUUGACUUUGAAAUGUUGCACCUACCUUGAAUUCCUGGGUUAAAUUUCACUUGUCAUGAUGUAUUAUCUUUUUUACAUAUUGCUAGGUUUGAUUUGCUAAUACUUUCGUAAGCAUAUUUUUGUGUCUGUAUUCAUGAGAGAUAUUGAUUUAUCAUUGUCUUUUUCUGUAAUGUCUUUCUAAGUUUGGGUAUAAUCAUCAUUCUGGCUUUAUAAAAUAAACUUAGUUUCCUGAGAGUCUUA